UACGUAGGGUGCAAGCGUUAAUCGGAAUUACUGGGCGUAAAGCGUGCGCAGGCGGCUUUGCAAGACAGAUGUGAAAUCCCCGGGCUUAACCUGGGAACUGCAUUUGUGACUGCAUGGCUGGAGUGCGGCAGAGGGAGGUGGAAUUCCACGUGUAGCGGUGAAAUGCGUAGAGAUGUGGAGGAACACCGAUGGCGAAGGCAGCCUCCUGGGCCAAUACUGACGCUCAUGCACGAAAGCGUGGGGAGCAAACAGG
rnacentral:rRNA from 1 species